CCUACGGGUGGCAGCAGUCGAGAAUCAUUCACAAUGGGGGAAACCCUGAUGGUGCGACGCCGCGUGGGGGAAUGAAGGUCUUCGGAUUGUAAACCCCUGUCAUGUGGGAGCAAAUUAAAAAGAUAGUACCACAAGAGGAAGAGACGGCUAACUCUGUGCCAGCAGCCGCGGUAAUACAGAGGUCUCAAGCGUUGUUCGGAAUCACUGGGCGUAAGGCGUGCGUAGGCUGUUUCGUAAGUCGUGUGUGAAAGGCGCGGGCUCAACCCGCGGACGGCACAUGAUACUGAGAGACUAGAGUAAUGGAGGGGGAACCGGAAUUCGCGGUGUAGCAGUGAAAUGCGUAGAUAUCGAGAGGAACACUCGUGGCGAAGGCGGGUUCCUGGACAUUAACUGACGCUGAGGCACGAAGGCCAGGGGAGCGAAAGGGAUUAGAUACCCGAGUAGUC
rnacentral:rRNA from 1 species